GGCUGUGAGGGUGGACGUUCUUUAGACCUGGUGCGUUUCACUCAUUUCCAGCACCUCCCAGGCCCCUGGGAGCACCCGAGCCUUUGACCUCUGGGUGAGGGUCUAGGACUUCAGGGGAGGCCCGCAGCAUCCUCUCAGAUUAGUGUUCUAGGGCAGGGCUUCUCAAAUUUUAACGUGCACACAAAUCCCUAGCGAUCUUGUUAAAUUCUGAUUUCUUAGAUCUGGAUUGGGCCUUGAGUGAGUGUUGCUAAUAAGUUCCCAGGUGGUCUGGGACUGCACUGUGAGGCGCAGGGUAAGGUGUUGGGGUCUCUGGCUAUGCCAGUUAUUUCCUAUGCCAGGAUUCAGGUUUGCAUGCCUAAUCCUCAGCGCCUGUCAGCUCCCCUCCAUCCCCCAGCUUCUGGGGUUCAGCACCUUCCAUGCUCCUGCCCUGGGAAUUCACCUGUAGUUCCCGCAGGCACUGCCCUUCCAGCUGGAGAUGUGCAUCACCCACGCACCAGGCCAGACUGAUGUGGAAUGAGGGGUCCUGCAGAGGAACGGCGGGGAGACAGGCGGUCACCUGGAGGUCGUGGCAGGCUCAGACAUCAAAGCAGCUCUGUGACAGAGUUGUCACCGUAUCCCUGCUGCAUCCCUGACCUGAUUCAUGGGAGACUAGAUCCUCAGUGUUGACCCCAAGCACCCUCCACAGACAGAUAAAAUAGCCCUGGAUUGGUCCCUGCUAUGGACUGAAUUGUGUCCCGCAAAUUCAUAUAUUGAAGCCUUAACCCCCACUGUGAUGGUAUUUGGAGAAGGGGCCUUUGGGAGGUAAUUAGGUUUAGAUGAGGUCCUAAAGGUGGGGCCCUCAUGAUGGGAUUAGUGCCCAUAUAAGAGAUGGCAGAGAGCUGCUUCCUCUCUCUUUCCAUCAUGUGAGGACACAGUGAGAAGAUGGCCAUCUACAAGCCAGGAAGAGAGGCCUCAACAGAAACUGACCGUGAUGGCACCUUGGUUUUGGACGUCUAGCCUCCAGAACUGUGAGAAAAAUGUGAGAUCCCAUAGAGCAGAGACUAUGCCGACCUUUUCACUGCUGAUCUGUAGUGUACAGCAAGUGCCUGGCACCGGGAGGUGUUUAACAAGUUUGUGCAGCAUACAAUGAAUGAAUGAAUGAGCGAAUGAGUACUCUUCUUAGAGGUGCUGAGAGCAGAAGGCAGCUCAGAUCCAGUGAGUGGAUCUGACAGGGAGGCUUGCUUUGAAGCCUUGAUAACAACAGUUUCUUCUUAUGUUCAUCUCAUCCUUGAAUGCUUUUAUAAAACUUGUUUCGUUCAUCUGAGCUUCACAACUGCCCAAUGAUGGAUGCUUGGAAAUGGGACAGGAUGUGAUGGAUGAUGUGACAGCUUGGAAAUGGCAGGUCACAGAGGUUGAAGGUUAACAAAAACCAAUUCUGAUCCAGUCUAAGCAACAAGAACAUUUCCGUGUGCCUGGGCUGAGCUUGGGGAUCCUCAUACAAGUCUGUGAGGCAGGUGCUACAAUGACACCCAUUUUACAGACACAGAAACUGAAGCUUGGUGAGGCUGAAUUUGGUGAGUCACAAUUUGAACUUCAAUCUGCCUGAUUCCAGAGCCCUUGCUCUCACCUGAUGCUUUAGUGAGGGGUCUCUGUUGGUGUGAGAUUGCCGCAGAAAUACCGUCACCCACCUCUCAGAUCAGUUACACAGGGACCAUCAAAUUCUGCCAGCUACACAUCAGGGAUCUGUGUAACACCUCAUUAGAAGAAAGGACUCUGCAAAUAAGACCAGGAGUAGAAAACCACCACCUGGAUGGCUUCUUAGGCUCCUACUGGAACCAACAUUCAGAGGAUCCAGAGGAGGAUUUCUGGGCUCUCUCUCUCCUGCUCAGUCAUUCAACAAACACCCAUUUGAUGCCUAUAGUGAGCAAAGCACCUGGACAAAAGCUGUGGGGUAAUUCAGAGAGCAGCCGCAUUCCUGGCCUGCAGGAACUUGGGCUCCAAGCGGGAGAUGGGACAUGGGGAUGACUGAAUAUGGAUAUGAGGAUGAGUGGAACGAGCACUGGGGUGUAGACAAGCACAGGACAGCAGGGUCCCUGGGCCUGAAGAAUUCUGGAGGAGAUACCAAUUGGGACAGCCUCAGUGAAGGAGCAGUGCUUUGAUCUGGCCAAGUCUCGAAGGAGGGGCAUUUCUAGUGGAAAGAAGAGGUAUGAAAUAGUCAAGGGAAAAGAAGCCUAGGCUGGCAGAUAAAACCAGAGUGGGGGUGAGCUCUGAUCGUUCGGCAAGUGCCACAUUGAGGGUAUGCGUGAUCUCAUUCACUCUCACAAGUCCCCCUCUGAGGGAGCCACCACCACUCCCCUGACCCGCACACAGGUAAGGCUCGGAGGCUUCCAGAGCUUACGUGGCACGCACAAGGGCACAUGGGACGAAGCGCGCAGCAGGCGGCUCUGGGAGAUGUUUGGUGUGCUAACCUUUAGGUUUGCCUGCUUGAAGGGGUAGUGCAUCCCACAGGUCCAUCCCCACAAGAGCUCAGGACAGGAAGAGGAGCCUUGAAGGGGAGGGAGAUGAGGGGCAGAGGGAAGCACUGGGCACUCACCUCUGGAAGGAGGCCACGCGGUCUUUCAGAGCCUGCACGAAGGGGAGGAUCCAGUGAUGGCGCAGAACCACGCUCUGGGACAGGCUGAGGUGGAAGGCCUCCAUCCUUACCAGCCGGGGGACGUAUGUCUGUGCGUGGGGCAGCAGCACGUCAAGCAGGUCCAGGAACUCCUCCCUGGCUUCAUCUGGAGGGGAGAAGUGGAGAGGGUGGGCCAUUCUCUUAGCCAGGGUGGCAUGGCUGGAUGAAGCCCAGAAGGCGGAGAAAGGCUUUUGAGAGUAGCCUAUGUCUAUGUAUUUCGAAUAAUACUUUAAUAUGCAUUUAUGGCUACAGAAGUAACACAUACAUGCUCUUUGAAAAGAAUUCAAGUGAGAAAAGAAAUAUGUGACAGAGAAAGUAGGGGCCCCUGAUAUCCUACCACGUACAGCAGUGGUCUCCAAACUACUGUGAUUGCACAGGCCCUUAGUCAACCAAGCUUGCCCACAUACCCACAAUAAAUGUGUAUUUAUUUCUAAAUUACAAACAUGUGCUACACUGCAAAAUUGUGUGUGUUAUAAAAUGUACACUUGGAACAACAGAAAUUUUAAAAGAUGAGAUAAAGAGAAACACAUUAAAAGGUUUUAAUACUUUUCUCUCUAAUGGAUCAUCUUGAUCCCGUCCCCAGGCACAUACAGCCCACUUUCAAGAUACUACCCUAGAGAUAAAGGCUGUCAAAUGUGAUGCCUAUUUCCCCAGCCUUUUCUCAGUGCAUGUACUAACGUAUAUAUCUUAUUUGUUAAAAAAGAUGAGGGCAUACCAGUUCUUCCAUUGGCUUUCUCCAUACAACACUACAUGUUGGACAGCCUUCCUCUCAUUACAUAA